rnacentral:rRNA from 1 species
UUGGAAUGAUGGUGACCCAAACCCUCACCAGAGUAGCAAUUGGAGGGCAAGUCUGGUGCCAGCAGCCGCGGUAAUUCCAGCUCCAAUAGCGUAUAUUAAACUUGUUGCAGUUAAAAAGCUCGUAGUUGUAUUUUUGCGUUGACGGUUUGACCAUUUGGUUGGUUAUUUCGUUUUCGCUUUUGGGAAUUUCCCUUUUUACUUUGAGAAAAUUAGAGUGUUUCAAGCAGACUUUUGUCUUGAAUACUUCAGCAUGGAAUAAUAGAGUAGGACUUUGGUUCUAUUUUGUUGGUUAUUGAACCUUAGUAAUGGUUAAUAGGAACGGUUGGGGGCAUUCGUAUUUAACUGUCAGAGGUGAAAUUCUUAGAUUUGUUAAAGACGAACUACUGCGAAAGCAUUUGCCAAGGACGUUUCCAUUAAUCAAGAACGAAAGUUAGGGGAUCGAAGACGAUCAGAUACCGUCGUAGUCCUAACCAUAAACUAUGCCGACUAGUGAUUGGAGG